AUUGAACGCUGGCGGCAGGCCUAACACAUGCAAGUCGAACGAGUGGCGGACGGGUGAGUAAUGUCUGGGAAACUGCCUGAUGGAGGGGGAUAACUACUGGAAACGGUAGCUAAUACCGCAUACCAUCGGAUGUGCCCAGAUGGGAUUAGCUAGUAGGUGGGGUAACGGCUCACCAAGGCGACGAUCCCUAGCUGGUCUGAGAGGAUGACCAGCCACCCUGGAACUGAGACACGGUCCAGACUCCUACGGUAGGCAGCAGUGGGGAAUAUUGCACAAUGGGCGCAAGCCUGAUGCAGCCCUGCCGCGUGUAUGAAGUAGGCCUUCGGGUUGUAAAGUACUUUCAGCGGGGAGGCGUUACCCGCAGAAGAAGCACCGGCUAACUCCGUGCCAGCAGCCGCGGUAAUUC
rnacentral:rRNA from 1 species